rnacentral:rRNA from 1 species
UACAGAGGGUGCAAGCGUUAAUCGGACUUACUGGGCGUAAAGGGCGCGUAGGCGGUUUUUUAAGUCAGCUGUGAAAGUCCUGGGCUUAACCUGGGGAUGGCAGUUGAAACUGAGAGACUAGAGUCGAGUAGAGGGGAGCGGAAUUUCCGGUGUAGCGGUGAAAUGCGUAGAUAUCGGAAGGAACACCAGUGGCGAAGGCGGCUCUCUGGGCUCAGACUGACGCUGAGGCGCGAAAGCGUGGGUAGCGAACAGG